UCAACGGAUUGUCUCAUCUCAGCAUCUCAUCAUAUUGCCUAUAUAUGCAUAAGGUAAGUACAGAAUGAUAAGUGAUAAAAAGUUGAGAUUGUGAUGGAUAUUUACUUAAUAUAUGGAUUGAUCUCCAUGUAGUUUAGUAAAACAUAUAUUUUACCUAUCAGAGCUCUCUAUCGGUUAAUAUCCGAUGAACCUUAUGCCCAAA
rnacentral:lncRNA from 1 species